rnacentral:rRNA from 1 species
ACUGAAUAGAUACCCCGGUAGUCCCAGCUGUAAACGAUGCAGACUAGGUGUUUGGACGGCCACGUGCCGUUCUAGUGCCGCAGGGAAGCUGUUAAGUCUGCCGCCUGGGGAGUACGAUCGCAAGAUUGAAACUUAAAGGAAUUGGCGGGGGAGCACCACAAGGGGUGAAGCUUGCGGUUUAAUUGGAGUCAACGCCGGAAAUCUCACCGGGAGCGACAGCAGUAUGAAAGCCAGAUUGAAGGUCUUGCUAGACGAGCUGAGAGGAGGUGCAUGGCCGUCGCCAGUUCGUGCCGUGAGGUGUCCUGUUAAGUCAGGCAACGAUCGAGACCCGCGUCCUCUGUUGCAACCAGCUUUGUGCUGGGCACACUGAGGAGACCGCCACUGAUAAAGUGGAGGAAGGAGCGGGCCACGGCAGGUCAGUAUGCCCCGAAUCUCCCGGGCCACACGCGAGCUGCAAUGGCAAGUACAAUGGGUUCCGACCUCGAAAGGGGGAGGCAAUCUCGAAAGCUUGCCGUAGUUGGAAUU